AAACCAACAGGGAUUGCCUCAGUAACGGCGAGUGAAGCGGCAACAGCUCAAAUUUGAAAUCUGGCCCCUUUGGGGUCCGAGUUGUAAUUUGGAGAGGAUGCUUUUGGGCAGCCGCCGGUCCAAGUUCCUUGGAACAGGACGUCACAGAGGGUGAGAAUCCCGUACGUGGCCGGCAGGGCACCCUACGUAAAGCUCCUUCGACGAGUCGGGUUGUUUGGGAAUGCAGCCCUAAUUUGGAGGUAAAUUUCUUCUAAAGCUAAAUAUCGGCCGGAGACCGAUAGCGCACAAGUAGAGUGAUCGAAAGAUGAAAAGCACUUUGGAAAGAGAGUUAAAAAGCACGUGAAAUUGUUGAGAGGGAAGCGCUUGCGAUCAGUCUCGACGGCGGCCGUUCAGCCGGUCUUCUGACCGGUCCACUCGGUCGCCGCCGGGCCAGCAUCGAUUCGGGCGGUCGGAUAAAGGGCCCUGGAAUGUAGCUCCCCCGGGAGUGUUAUAGCCAGGGUCGUCAUACGGCCAGCCCGGAUCGAGGUCCGCGCUUCGGCUAGGAUGCUGGCAAAAUGGUCGUAAGCGGC
rnacentral:rRNA from 1 species